CAGCCCCCGCCCCGGGCCGGCCAUAGGGCGCUGGGGGGGCUGGGGGGGGCGGGGGCGCGGCUUUGUGGCGGCAGCGGACCGUGGAGGCCGGGUGCAGCCCGGUCGGCUGCGCGCUCUCUGCAGAAAAGGAUUUUCUACGCUCCCCGCCCAUCACUUGGAUCUCGUCUGGGGAGGGGCGGAUUUUUUUUCUGGAAGUACCCUUCUUCUUCACGGUGGAGGAUUUAAGGCUGGGCUCCAAUCGAGGCGGAGGCUGCAGGGCCCGCGGGGCGCCCCCCGCCCGGCGCACGCCUGCCCGGAGCCCGGGAAGGCGCAGCCUUGGGUGGGGGUGCCCGUGCACCCCCGGAGGCGGCAGCGGCGGUGAGUGCUCCCCUUCUUCCCGCCUGGCACCUUCCGCCAGCCAGGGUAGGGAUCGCGGCAGAUAAACCUGCCAGUAAUUUCAGCAAAUGAAACAUGGAACACGUCAAGGCCAGAGGAUGGAAAAGGCUCCAGUUUUGAUAAAAGGAGGCCUGCUUGGCUUGGAAUCCUCUCUCCUGCUGGUUGGGAGAUGCAAAGAUGUUUCCAGAGAGGGGCUGAUGAAUUGAGGGGAAAGAAAUGAGCCCAGUAUGAGUCCCCUUUCAGGGCUGAGCGUGUAUAAAACCAAACAACUUGAAACCGCUCCAAGAGAGGGGAUUAAAGCAACAUGUUAUUCUGA